GCGUGGGUGCUGGUGGAGUCCUCUUUCAGAGCUUUGCAGCUUUGGAAUUUGCUCUUCACUUGAGCUUUCCAAUACAGCAGCUCAGAUGGCUGCUGGUUUGAUUGCAUCAUUUAUGUUUCCUAUGCAUUUUAAAAGCAUGUAUAAAUUGUUCAAAUCUGUGUAGACAGGGAAUUAUUUAGAGAGAUGGAGAUUGUGGUAGGCCCUUUUGCAGUUAGAAAUACCAAGGCUCUUAAAUUAAUGUCUUUCUAAAAUAAAUUUCUAAAAUUAUCUUUUAGUACGUUUCUAUGCCAGUGUAUGAAGAACAACAAAUAGAAACUGACACAUGCAAAUCUCUAGUAAUUACUCUCUUCUACUGAAAUAAGUUAGAGGUUGACUGCUGCGAUAUUGGCUGGCUUGUGGCUUGAGGUUUCAGCUAGAGAUGCCCAAAAUCCCUUCUCCUGGCAUGAUAUUCCUGCUUUCUUGAAGACUGGUUUGGAGUUUUGAUUUUCUUUUUUUUUUUUUAAACAAUCUAGGUGCAAAAUCAGAUUUGUACAUAAUGCUUAACAUUGUUUCUUAUUUAACAAGGAAGAAAUUAAUUUCAGUAAGCAGUAUGUGCUUUACUCAAAUACAUAAUUACAGUCAGUUAAAAUUUACUGGUUGGAGUCCAUUUUCACAAAACCUUUCUGAGCAACAUUUACAUUCUUAAUCCUUCUGUCUGUAUUAACUGAAUUGUACCAUUGGCAUCAUAAAGAAAAAUUGUGUUCUAAGCAUCAGACUAUAGAUUAAUUGGUUUUAUCUAUAUGCCCUUUUUGAACAUUUCCCUAACAUUAAUACUUGCAGUUUUCUGAAGUUUCCCUGAUUUUCACAUUUUUAUUAAUACUACAUUUAGUGGACCACAGCCAAGUUAUCUCAACUUCUUUAAAUUCCAUCUCUGUCCAGUCACUUUCUUAAUUAACAGCAGAUAAUUUUCAUGUUAUUAAUAGUUUCAGCACUUUUUUGUAGGCUCAACGUUUAGUUCCAGGACUCUGGGGGAAAAAAGAGCAACUGGCCCCUGCCUUGGCUGGCUAUGGACCAUGUUUCAUAGCUUCAAGUUCACAUUACUCCUAUCAGUUUCUCUUUUCCUCUGUUUUGUUACAUAAUACUGAUUAGAUUUGUUACUGCCGUUGCUUAAUUUCUAACUGUAUUUUUAUAUAAGUGGUGAAUCUGGAAAAGCUCUUAGCAGUAGCUCUCUCUAGAUUGUGACAUUUGGGGUUUUUAUCUGCUUAUUAAAUCCUUUUUAAGAUA